ACAGGUGGGUGCAGUGAGACAGGUGCUCAGUGACACACAGGGCCUUGGCGACUUCAGUGUUCACUCAGUGGAGAUCGACAUGCAGGGCAUCUCCCUGCUGCAGCCGGCCCAGAGCAGUGAGCCCGGCCUGACUCCGCCCCCCUGAAGCCCUCCUUGUAAUCAUCCAAUCAUCUUACUGCGAUCACAGGACCUCCUCGCCGUUCUCAUCUUUUUUUAACCAGAGCGGCAAGGUGUCAGGAAACACCAGAGACCCUUAUUAUAAAGAGCACAGAGAUCACUCACUCACACAUCAUUGGGCUCCUUAUGCAAAGUGACCGGGCCCAGCUUGACUGCCCAUUGGCUGCAUCAUUGGGGCACAUUCAUUUAGAAAGCAAUCACUGGUUAGCUGCCCUUUUCCCUCAGUUCCUGUAUGCCUGUAAUGUAAGUUCAUACUUCACUUUCACAUUGAACCCAACUGACAGUUUGCAGUCACUGGACCUCUAACACGUUUCUGUGUCCAGAACUGGGUGAAGAGGAAAGGGGCUUUCCUGUUUUCAGCUCCGUCUGCUUGGAUUGGAUUACAGAAAAACUCUGAAAUUCCAUACUUUCACAACCACGAAUGAGUUCACAGCUCAAGUCACAGAUGUUUUUUGGGAACGCGCUGGGACAGUGUCUUUCUGUAGAGUAUGUGGUGUUCUAAGUAACUUCCCUUUUUUUCCCCCCACAGCAAACCUCUCAUUCCCUUCCUUUUUUACCCCCCCCAUCCCCCCAUCCAGUCUCCUCUCCUGCAUCCUAAACACAUCCCCCCAUCCAGCAGUCUGAUCGCUGCCACUUCUUUAUCCGUCCCUGUACCAGGAGCCGUGGCGCGACGACUUUACCCGUCCCCAUGGCAGGAGCCCUGGUGCAACGUCUUUUUGCUUCCCCAUUGAGCCCAGUGCCCUGUGCUGGGGUUCCGGUCUCACCGUGUUGACUGUUGGUGCCUUGCUCUGCCUUGCUGCCAGGGUCUCCUCUGGCCUUACUGAAGGCUUCGUACGUAGGCUGACCAGAUGUCCUUUUUUUACCCCCCAGACAUCUCUUUGAUUUGGAACCAAAAAAAUACAGCCAGGUGGAAUCUUGAAUUCCUAAAUAUUUAGUUAGGUUGUCCUUGUUCCAUACACUGUAUAUAAACAAACAGCCUGGUAUUACAGUGUGUUUAUAACACCACCCUGCGAAUCUGGUGUACGUUAGUUGAGAAAUCACCAAGUGCUACUUUUGAUACAUUAAAUUGUGCACUUUAUAAACCUA